AGCCUGUCUAUGUCUGUUUGUAGUAAAUCAUUCAGAGUAUCGUAUGAGCCUGGAAUCAAAUUCUGCCAAUGGAACUGAUGAGGGAUGGCGAAUGAUGCAAACGGAGAGGAGGGAUUUCUAGGAUAGACAGAAGUUUGGGGAAAGGAUUUCAUGUGGUAUGUGCCCACCACUCUUCAAGAAUCCAGAUCAAGAAGCAAGAUGAGGAAAAUGAGAUUCUCUGACUCCCUUCUGUUUGCAAAUCAAAAGCUUUGACUUACCACUAGGCGGCACUCUUCACUCUGUUAUCUUUCUGAAGCCUUCAGCCCCGUAGGGCUGCUAUUCAAAUAGAAGCACUGCAUUUACUAACGUUUGUGAAUUGUUUAGGAAUAAUCAGAAGCACACUACAAUUCUGGACAGAUUUUUUUCCCCUAAUGCUUCUGUUGAUUGUGACACAAAGUCCUUGACUGCAUCAAACGUAACCUGGAAGGAUUCAGCAAAUCCAACUUGCCUU
rnacentral:lncRNA from 1 species